AUAUCGCGAGGUGUCAGCCGCCGCGGUAAUACGUAGGGAGCAAGCGUUGUCCGGAAUUACUGGGUGUAAAGGGAGCGUAGGCGGGGAGACAAGUUGAAUUGUUUAAACUAUCGGCUCAACUGAUACGUCGCGUUCAAAACUAUACACUCUUGAGUGCAGGUAGAGGUAGGCGGUAAUUCCUAGUGUAGCGGUGAAAUGCGUAGAUAAUUAGGAGGAACACCAAGUGGCGAAGGCGGCCUACGUGGGCUGUAACUGACGCUGAGGCU
rnacentral:rRNA from 1 species